GUGCUCGCUUCAGCGCACAUAUACUAAAAUUGGAAUGAAACCAAGAAGAUUAGCACGGCCCCUGCACAAGGAUGACAUGCAAAUUUGUGAAGCUUCCCAUAUUUAA